rnacentral:lncRNA from 1 species
CCGAGGUAAGUACCCGAACUUUGCCUUUCCCAUGAUGAUACUAACAAAGAGUCCACUUAUUGUUGCCAUUCCUCAUGAUGUACAUCACAAGUAUCAUCCACGAGGCCACUCAAUGGUCUGCCCCGUGUGUGUGGAAAAAGCCCAUGGUCGUCCUUUCCAACACGACACCCAAUUGAGAGUGACCACGUCACUCAGGCCACUUGUAAUGCCUGCUCUCAUCUACUACCAAACAAAGUAUUCAACAAAGCCCCGUUCCAUAAGGGGUAUCGUGGUUGCCCAUGUAUGUCUGGGAUGGUCUCCACAUCUUAAAUCUAAUACGUUUUCGU